UUAACCUACGGGAGGCAGCAGUGGGGAAUAUUGCACAAUGGGGGAAACCCUGAUGCAGCAACGCCGCGUGAAGGAAGACGGUUUUCGGAUUGUAAACUUCUGUUCUUAGUGAAGAAGAAUGACGGUAGCUAAGGAGCAAGCCACGGCUAACUACGUGCCAGCAGCCGCGGUAAUACGUAGGUGGCAAGCGUUGUCCGGAAUUACUGGGUGUAAAGGGAGCGCAGGCGGGAAGCCAAGUCAGCUGGGAAAACUACGGGCUUAACUCGUAGACUGAAGUUGAAACUGGUUUUCUUGGGUGAAGUAGG
rnacentral:rRNA from 1 species